AGCCUCGUUUUCGGUCAGUCGGCCGAGAGCCGUCGAGGAACUCGAGUUGUAUGCGAAUUUGGUGCCCGCGCGACACACGCACGAGGUUUCGAUGGCCAUCGAAGGCUUGACAGAAAUCGCGUUCGAUUUACGUAAAGAAUAAAUAAAUAAAUAAAUAAAUACUUUCGUGCCGUAAAAAUGCAUCGAUCACGCUAGAAUUGUUGACAAAAUGUAAACCCGGCAGGCAGAUCUUUUCUGCCGAAUUCUGGUUGAAAUGGAAGUUCCGGUCUGAUAAAUUGGCGGAAUAUCGUCUCUCGAAUUUCUCUUUCACGUGAAAAAUUUGCAUGUGAAAAUGAGACGUCGCAUGCAGCAGCCAUGAUUAAUCGCAGCCUAAACCGAGAAAGGGUUCGACUCUGAAAGCUCGGUCGUGCAAAGGAAUCCAAAGAAAAUACGAACGUGACUGGACUGAUAAGCACGGGACCGACGAACUUGAGGUUACUAGUGAAUUUCUGGCGGGAUACGCUGCUGUGCUCGUGACAGAGAGAAAUCGAUCUUUAAGCAUUCCCAACUCAGACUUGCGUUGGAUGAGAAAUACGUAUACACAUCUUCGAAUCAGUCAAACAUGUUUAAUCAAAAUUUAAUUAACGGAGGUAUUUUAAAUAUUAUGUGUAUCGUUGAUCAGUGACUCCAGUUCAUUAGUUAUGUAAUUAAAAAAAGUAAUCCAGUGAGAGAUAAUUUUCGAUGUAAUUCAAAAAGUAUCCAGUUCAUCAGUUAUGUAAUUAAAAAAUUAAUCCAAUAAAGAAUAAUUUUCGAGAGCAAUUUCGGACAAUUUUUUUACUCGUAACUGAAAAUUUCUCGACUGCACUUAGAAAAGAAGCAGACAUCGAAAUAUCAGAAAUUCUACGAAGAAUACGUCUUCGAAUUGUCUGCCAAAGUGUUGUAACGGAUUUAUUGGCGCGCUGACGUAUAAAGCAUGACGCGUCAAACUGCCGAAUGUGUUCGGUGAAGAACUCGGGAAGGACUCGGUCUCGAGGAAGUUUAGCAUGCACACAAGGGUUAAUGUUCCUGUCUCUCUAAGUAGAAACGACGAGGAGAAUACACGGAGUUAGCCAAGCAUGAACAAGGGAAAAUCCGGUGCAACGACCACCCGGAAAAUUUUCGCAGACCUCACAUCAGGAUUUCGCGUCCAAUAAAUUCCUAGUUGCAGAACAAAGGAACAAUGUCGGCCGAGGUGAGAGCUGGUCGACCUACCAUGCCAACCAUUCCGCACUCCAAACGGCCUACGAUCUUGGUGUAUCCGACGGUUACGCCGGAGAGUAUAAUCAUACCUAUCGUGUCCUGCAUUCUGGGGUUUCCAUUACUGGCGUUAAUGGUAAUUUGCUGCCUACGGAGGAGAGCAAAACUCGCCAGGGAACGGGCCCGGCGAAGAAAUUGUGAUUUGGAUCAUGGCGCAUUGAGCCUCGUACGUUUCAGCCCGGUUCAUCGCCUAGGAUCGAGAGAGGAUUUCGAUUUAGCUGGCAUCGAUCGACCGGCGCGUACCGUAUCCUUAAGAGGUGAUCGAGGGUCCCGAGCUUUUUCAUCCCUGGAGCUGGACACCGUCGUUGAGGAGCGUUCAGAUCCCGAACAAAGCACCGCCAUCGAAUUAAGUAGUCCCGACUAGCAUCCAGCUUCGGCACCGUCUAGUGAUUUCUACAAAUUUCUCGAUGAAACUACAACGUCAAACAGCAACGAACUACAACAUUCCACACAUUCCCAAGUAGCUUACUCUGGAGAAAAAAAAUUUCUAUGAAAAGAAACACGAUUCGAAGAUUAACAGAGAUAUCUCACCUGUUAACCUUGUACCGAAAACAACCAUGUUAAUUGAGAUUGAUCCGAAAUGGCCGAGCUACAUGCAUUAACUACAUGUACAACAUGCGAGCCUCAACCGGCUCACGAAAGUGAUCGGUGCUUCAUUAGAUUCGGUCCCCACAACCAUCAAAAUCCUUGGCGGUGCCAUUGCCUGUGGAUCGCAGUCCGUUAUGGACAGCUUUGACACACGCUAAUGCAGUCUCCGCGGCGUUAGGAGAUACCUAGCAGGAGGUGGAAGACGACAGCUAUAUCGAAGCUCUCGUCCUAGAUCUGCCAAUCAUUUACUGACCGGCCUUUCUGAAAAUAGAUGUCUUAGUGGAGCAUCGGAAGGAAGCUGGGCAUCCUUACUCAAGCACUACCAUAUCGCGUUAACAAUCACGCGAAAUAUCAGAAAAAUAUAUAAUGCUCUUCUAUGUCAAGAGAAAUAAAUAAAAUAAAGUUUACAACAAAAAGCGAUGUUCGAAAAGUAAAGUAUUGUAUGCUCCUUUUGUGUAAAUGUGUGUGUGUGUGUGUGUGUGUGUGUGUGUGUGUGUGUGUGUGUGUGCGUGUGUGUAUGCAGCUAAAUGCGUUGUGACCAACAUUAAUGAUAUUUUGUACUAUUUGCUCGCAACAUUUGCGAGUAGAGCUUUUUACACGAUAGUUAAUACAAAACAUACCCCGUCACUGUAGGAAGUAGCUGGUCUACAAUAUAUCGAUGUAAAUACAGAUUUUUAAUUAAUGUACAAACGAAAAUUACAUGAAUAAAGUUAUUAUUCGUGGCUGUAUUAUA